rnacentral:lncRNA from 1 species
UACAAAACCCCGUUUAUUUCAUCACAAAACUGGAAGACCCACUCGGGUGCCCCUCUCUCUGUGCAGAAUAGAGAGCUAUUCUCUUUUUCUUUUACGUAUUAAACCUCUGCUCUUAAACUCUCUACUUGUGUGUCCAUGUCCUUGAAUCCCUUGGCGUGAAACAACGAACCUCGGGUAUUUAUCCCAGACAAUGUCGCCGCUUCAUUUUGGGGCCCCAUCUGGGACAUCCUUUCAUUUCAAGGCUGUCGGCCUCCAUUCUGGGCAUUUUGGCUGUGUUUUGAACUGAUUUCCCUUCAUGGAAACCUAGCCAUUGCAUGGGGCUGGAAUAAGUCCUGGAGGAUUUCUGGCCAGGUCUACACCCUGGUGUUAUCUGAAGGCUUCUGGACUGACCCGCCUCCAACUGCUCAAUCAGGCAUCGGCAACAGGAUCUCCAGCUUUACUUAUCAUAAUUUCCUCCUUUCCUGUCUGCGACUGCCAUGUCUCCUCUCUCUGUAUGCAAUGUGGUGGGAAUUUUUACAGUUCAGGGAAGUAAUCCUAUUAGGCAAGAUCAGGAAAUGUAGGAUGCUGCAGUAACCAGGAAUAUAGCUCAAGGGAAUGUCGUUUUUGUGAUUUUUCUAGGAACUGAGGGUCUCCACCACUCCCCCGCCCCACCACUGUGAGCAUUUCUCCGCCCUUGGGCUGGAGGGCACAUGGCAUUUCAAGGUCAACAGCACCACCUAGUGGAAUAGAAAUCUCCUCCCUUUUGGCACCUCUCUACUAGAGACCAGGCUUUAUGCGCUUCUGUAAAUGGAAAAACUCUCCCUUCAGCAAUGAGGAGGAAAAAAUCCUCUAAAAUCAAAUUUUAGUCUCGAUACCGUCCCAUCAGCAGGAAAAUGGCCAUUCGGUCCCUACGUUCUUUUAAGGCACAUAUUCUACCUCCCAUUAAAACGAUACUUAAAUAGUAAGAAGAUUUUAUGUCUGGAAGUUCACCGGAACCAUUCUCUAAGGGUAAGUGCUUUAGCAUGGGCCAUAAUAGCAGGAUAUAGAGUUUAAUCUAGUACACUCCCUCCAUUAAAUGGGUCUUGCUCACAUGAAACUAUUAUGUAGUUUUUCCUGAGAUCCAUCUUUCUGGGAGCCACACGGGCCAGAUGAGUCCAGGAAAUCAAAGGGAUAUCACAAGUGGAGGACUAAAGUCACAAGAGUGAACAUAAUCCCAAAUCGCUUAGUUCCUUUGGUUCCAUGCUGAGGGUCAUGCCUGCAACCAUGGGUGGCACAUUUAAUAAAUGCCAGGGCUCAGGGAACUAGGGAGGGAAAACAGGUGGGGGGAUGCCUCCACUGUCUUUCCCUCUACCUUGGGCCAUUUCAAAGGAAAGGAAGGAGACUAAAGGCAUACGUUUUUCUUGCUUCUCUUUCUAGAUAGGUAACAGACCAUCUUCAGCCUGAAUUCCUCUGGAAUGUGUUCUGAAGCACUGGGACUCCUUUGACCCUUAAAGUGCAUCGCUUAGAGUUGAGCUCAGGAGCAGGGAACCCAGAAGCUGACAU